rnacentral:lncRNA from 1 species
UUUCAGUUACAUAUCUGCAUGAGUCCAGAUUUUCUCCAUAUAAUUCAAGCAAGAUGUCGUAUUGUAACAGAGUCAGUGUAGAAGCAGAUAUAAAAGAGUCUGGCUGUCUCCUAUUAAGUCAAACACUGAAUAAAUUUGCAAAAAUGUCAAACAAUAUCACUCUUUUCACUUUAUUUUUUUUCCUUGGAAAGCAUAUGUUAUUUAACAUGUAAAGGGCAUAUAAAUAUACUUUUUAAAUGAAUAAACAAAUAUUUUCAGAUUUUUUGGCUUUAAUUUCUAAUAUGGCAAAUACUAAUAGAUAUUACUCACAUAAAUAAAAGCUCUUUGGGGUCCUCAACAAUUUUUUAGGGUAUAAGAGGUAUCAACCUUUUUCAAGACCGAAAAGGUUGAGAACUGCAGUUCUAUGUUAUUAAGAAGUGGGGCAAUGUGCCCAUUUAAAAGACUACAUUUUCCAGAUGCCUUUGCAGCUAAAUUUGGUCAUGUGGUAAGUUCUGGGUAAUCAUAUAUAAGCAGAAGUUUGUAAAAAGGACUUCCCGAAAGCCUACAUGGAGAACGAAUGGCUGGGAAAAUUCCUUUUUUGACUUUCUGCUUUUUCUCAUUCUCAGAGAAUACAUUUGUAUAUGAUUGUGGAAGCCCUAGCAGCUACCUUGAACUAUGAGGUGACCUUGAGGAUACAAGGUACUUGUAACCAAGAUGAAAAAAAGAUAAAAAAAAAAACAACGGCUGGAUCCCCAAUAACUAUGAUGUUGCCUAAUUAUCUACUCCAGGCUUCUUUUAAAUGGGAGACAAAAAAACCUUUUACAUCCUGUUUAAGCCUCUAUUAUUUCUAUUUUUCUGUUACAUGUAGCGGAACCUAAUCCUACUCUUUCCUUUAAAUGUGACAAUGUGCUAAGACCAACCACCGAGGACCUAGUUUUAGGAUGUGUAUUAUAUAAUGAUUUCUUCUGUAUUUUUAAAAUGGGGUUUUCUUUCCAUGUCUUAAUGUGUGAUACUGAAAAAACAUUAUUCUUCAGGAUUAGUAAUAAAGGCACUCAGAAAUUUGUUCAACUCUGAGCAACAAACAUUUCGGGAUCUCAUGCUAUUGGCAUGCAGUGAGCCAGGCUCUGAGCACAUGUGUCCUCACAGCCCUGUGGGUCAUGGGGGUAAAUCACCUCCCUCCAGGGCCCAGCACUGUCUUCACAGCCCUGCUGCAGGCCCCACUAUCGGGUAACACACUAUUCUCAGCAUGGAGAGAGAAGCAUACCUCUUUGUCACUUAACUUGUGUUUCUGGGGUAGGACUUAAAAUUCUCUUGAAUAAAUUUGUCAUCCCCACUCCUUGAACCAGAAUGGCCCAAAUAAACAAAGAGGCUUCCCUCUCCUGAAUUUUGAUGGGCUGACAUGUCUAAUUUCCCUGAUAAGCCAUGUCAUUUGUUCAGUGUUCUCCCAUGCUACCUUUGUCAAUAUAAUAACCAACUGAAUUUGAAAGUUGCAGAAAGUCAACAGACCUUGUCCAUGGACCCACCCUGCAACUAAAAUCUUCAAAGCAAAGAUAACUUUCUACAGAACAUCAGAUGGUCUCUUCCCUUGUGUUACACAGAAUCUAUUGCCAUUAACUGGUGGCAUCAUAGGUGAUGGGUAGGUAAAUGAGAGAUACCCAAAAGCCUUACUCAUAAAAACCAGGCAGAUUCUGUAAGGGGCAACAUGUUUAGAGUAAGCAAAUCUCUACCAUACUCCUUGGGUUCAGGAUGGAUUCAGGCUAGACCUAACCACGGCACAGCUUGGUGAGGCUAAAACAUGAUAAUAUAUGAUCAAAAACUACAAACUCCGCAGAGCUGUAUGUCAGCUAUAGUUAUUAACUUGUGCUCUCUUGAUAGGGAAAGAAAAUUCAAUUAAAAGUUUAGGCUGAAUUAGAAUAUUGGGUUUGCUACUUGUUUGCUGGGUGACUUUAGGCAAGUUGCUUAACCUUGCUGAGCACAAGAAAUAAUUAGGUACAGUCCAGGGGUAUCCAACCUUUUGGUUUCCCUGGGUCACAUUGAAAGAAGAAGAAUUGUCUUGGGCCACACAUAAAAUACUCUAACACUAUGAUAGCUGAUGAGCUAACACACACACACACACACACACACACACACACACACAAAAUCUCAUAAUGUUUUAAGAAAGUUCACGAAUUUGUGUUAGGCCACAUUCAAAGCCAUCCUGGGCCACAUGCAGCCUGUGGGCCACGGGUUGGACAAGCUUGAUGUACACCUUUUCAAAUACUGAUGUUCAUUUUAGCAGAUGGACUAACAUGGGUAAAAAGGUGCUAACAGAGUUUGAAAAAUGACUUUUUUAAAAAAUCAAUUUUACCCUAACAUAACAUUUAGGGUUAGAUUUGUUUUCUUUUCUUUCUUUCUUUUUUUCUUUUUUUUUUUUUUUUUUUGAGAUGGAGUCUUGUUCUGCCACCCAGGCUGGAGUGCAAUGGCGUGAUUUCAGCGCACUGCAACCUACACCUCCCAGGUUCAAGCAGUUCUCCUGCCUCAUCCUAUCGAAUAGUGGGAUUUCUGGCGCACGCCACCAUGCCUGGCUAAUUUUGAGUUGAGAUUGGGGUUUCACCAUGUUGGCUGGGCAUGGGGCUGUA